rnacentral:lncRNA from 1 species
UCCAAGGCUACUUUUCUUGUAGAUAGAGGGAUCUUACUUGGUGUAACCAAUGGAGAAGCUUGAGCUGGUGCUUAAGCUGCCUUCUUCCUCCAUUCCUCGGCCUCCAAAGACCUGACAGAUUUUCUUCUCUGCGAUAAUCUCAUUUUGGGGGCCAUUGUCCCAAGGAGAGGAGGAAAAUCAGUCAAGAGGGUAGAGAGGGAUGAGAGAUGGAAGAAAAUGAAGAGGAGAAGAGAGUUUAGGAGAGUUUCUCAUGGAUUUUACAGGUUAGGAUUUGAAAUUUGGUGGAGAUCAAGAGGAUAAGUCAUGAGAGAGAGAGAGCUUAAGGGUUUGAGAUGAAAAUCCAAAGUUUUGAGGUCAGUGGAGAUCUAAAAGGAGAUUUUUAGGUUUGGGAUGAGAG